rnacentral:snRNA from 1 species
AUCGCUUCUCGGCCUUUUGGCUAAGAUCAAGUGUAGUAUCUGUUCUUAUCAGUUUAAUAUCUGAUACGUCCUCGAUGAGAGGACUUUAUAUUAAACGGGGAAACUCGAC